GGCUGUUCGCCCAUUAAAGCGGUACGCGAGCUGGGUUUAGAACGUCGUGAGACAGUUCGGUCCCUAUCCGCUGCGCGCGCAGGAAAUUUGAGAAGGGCUGUCCUUAGUACGAGAGGACCGGGACGGACGAACCUCUGGUGUGUCAGUUGUACUGCCAAGUGCACCGCUGAUUAGCUACGUUCGGAAGGGAUAACCGCUGAAAGCAUCUAAGCGGGAAGCCCACUUCAAGAUGAGAUUUCCACGCCACCUCGUGUGGCGAGAGGCCCCCAGCCAGACCACUGGGUUGAUAGGCGGGAUGUGGAAGCGAGGACCAAAGACUCGUGAAGCUGACCCGUACUAAUAGGCCGACAACUUCAACCAC
rnacentral:rRNA from 1 species